rnacentral:rRNA from 1 species
CAAAAAAAAAAGCGAAAAUCACUCUAGUGUGCGUAUCCAGCGUACGGAUGGGAGAUUGCUCUCUGAUGUUAACGGCCGACGGCUUUGUAACAGCGAUACGUUACCUGCCUGUAAGACUGGGAUAACUCCGUGGAAACCGGGGCUAAUACCGGAUGGUUGUUUGAACCGCAUGGCUCAAACAUAAAAUGCGGCUUCCGCUACCACUUACAGAUGGACCCGCGGCGCAUUAGCUAGUUGGUGAGGUAACGGCUCACCAAGGCAACAAUGCGCAGCCGACCUGAGAGGGAGAUCGGCCACUCUGGGACUGAGACACGGCCCAGACUCCUACGGGAGGCAGCAGUGGGGAAUCUUCCGCAAUGGACGAAAGUCUGACGGAGCAACGCCGCGUGAGUGAUGAAGGUUUUCGGAUCGUAAAGCUCUGUUGUUAGGGAAGAACAAGUACCGUUCGAAUAGGGCGGUACCUUGACGGUACCUAACCAGAAAGCCACGGCUAACUACGUGCCAGCAGCCGCGGUAAUACGUAGGUGGCAAGCGUUGUCCGGAAUUAUUGGGCGUAAAGGGCUCGCAGGCGGUUUCUUAAGUCUGAUGUGAAAGCCCCCGGCUCAACCGGGGAGGGUCAUUGGAAACUGGGGAACUUGAGUGCAGAAGAGGAGAGUGGAAUUCCACGUGUAGCGGUGAAAUGCGUAGAGAUGUGGAGGAACACCAGUGGCGAAGGCGACUCUCUGGUCUGUAACUGACGCUGAGGAGCGAAAGCGUGGGGAGCGAACAGGAUUAGAUACCCUGGUAGUCCACGCCGUAAACGAUGAGUGCUAAGUGUUAGGGGGUUUCCGCCCCUUAGUGCUGCAGCUAACGCAUUAAGCACUCCGCCUGGGGGAGUACGGGUCGCAAGACUGAAACUCAAAGGGAAUUGACGGGGGGCCCGCACAAGCGGUGGGAGCAUGUGGGUUUAAUUCGAAAGCAACCGCGAAAGAACCUUUACCAAGGUCUUUGACAUCCUUCUGACAAUUCCUAGGAGAUAGGGACGUCCCCCUUCGGGGGGCAGAAUUGACAGGGUGGGUGCAAUGGUUUGUCGGUCAGCUUCCGUGUCGUGAAGAUGUUGGGGUUAAAGUCCCCGCAAACGAAGCGCAACCCCUUUGAUCCUUAGUUUGCCAAGCAUUUCAAGUUGGGGCACCUCUAAAGGGGGACUGGCCGGGUGGACAAAACCCCGGAGGGAAAGGGGGGGGGAAUGACGUUCAA